AGACACUGAAGAGCUUCCUGAUGCAAUGCAACAGAAAGGAAAGUGAUGCUCAGAGGGAGCGAUUUGAGGAAGAGAACAGGAAGGUGAAGAAAUUCCUGGAGGCAGCUGCUGAACAGCGUCAACAACUACAUCACAAGCGGCAGAGGUAUGCAGAGAACAUCCUGGAGAAAGAAACAGGGAGGAGUUGGAUCCAGC
rnacentral:lncRNA from 1 species